AACGAACGCUGGCGGCAGGCCUAACACAUGCAAGUCGAACGCCCUAGCAAUAGGGAGUGGCAGACGGGUGAGUAACGCGUGGGAACGUACCCUUCGGUUCGGAAUAACCCAGGGAAACUUGGACUAAUACCGGAUACGUGCGAGAGCAGAAAGAUUUAUCGCCGAAGGAUCGGCCCGCGUCCGAUUAGCUAGUUGGUGAGGUAAUGGCUCACCAAGGCGACGAUCGGUAGCUGGCUGAGAGGAUGAUCAGCCACACUGGGACUGAGACACGGCCCAGACUCCUACGGGAGGCAGCAGGUGGGGAAUAUUGGGACAAUGGGCGCAAGCCUGAUCCAGCCAUGCCGCGUGAGUGAUGAAGGCCCUAGGGUUGUAAAGCUCUUUCGCAGGGACGAUAAUGACGGUACCUGGAUAAGAACGCCCCGGCUAACUUCGUGCCAGCAGCCG
rnacentral:rRNA from 1 species